rnacentral:rRNA from 1 species
GAAUAGGCCCAAGCGACUGUUUAGCAAAAACACAGCUCUCUGCGAAGCCGUAAGGCGAAGUAUAGGGGGUGACACCUGCCCGGUGCUGGAAGGUUAAGGAGAGGGGUUAGCGUAAGCGAAGCUCUGAACUGAAGCCCCAGUAAACGGCGGCCGUAACUAUAACGGUCCUAAGGUAGCGAAAUUCCUUGUCGGGUAAGUUCCGACCCGCACGAAAGGUGUAACGAUUUGGGCACUGUCUCAACCAGAGACUCGGUGAAAUUAUAGUACCUGUGAAGAUGCAGGUUACCCGCGACAGGACGGAAAGACCCCGUGGAGCUUUACUGUAGCCUGAUAUUGAAUUUUGGUACAGUUUGUACAGGAUAGGCGGGAGCCAUUGAAACCGGAGCGCUAGCUUCGGUGGAGGCGCUGGUGGGAUACCGCCCUGACUGUAUUGAAAUUCUAACCUACGGGUCUUAUCGACCCGGGAGACAGUGUCAGGUGGGCAGUUUGACUGGGGCGGUCGCCUCCUAAAGUGUAACGGAGGCGCCCAAAGGUUCCCUCAGAAUGGUUGGAAAUCAUUCGUAGAGUGCAAAGGCAUAAGGGAGCUUGACUGCGAGACCUACAAGUCGAGCAGGGACGAAAGUCGGGCUUAGUGAUCCGGUGGUUCCGCAUGGAAGGGCCAUCGCUCAACGGAUAAAAGCUACCCCGGGGAUAACAGGCUUAUCUCCCCCAAGAGUCCACAUCGACGGGGAGGUUUGGCACCUCGAUGUCGGCUCAUCGCAUCCUGGGGCUGUAGUCGGUCCCAAGGGUUGGGCUGUUCGCCCAUUAAAGCGGUACGCGAGCUGGGUUCAGAACGUCGUGAGACAGUUCGGUCCCUAUCCGUCGUGGGCGUAGGAAAUUUGAGAGGAGCUGUCCUUAGUACGAGAGGACCGGGAUGGACGCACCGCUGGUGUACCAGUUGUUCUGCCAAGGGCAUAGCUGGGUAGCUAUGUGCGGAAGGGAUAAGUGCUGAAAGCAUCUAAGCAUGAAGCCCCCCUCAAGAUGAGAUUUCCCAUAGCGUAAGCUAGUAAGAUCCCUGAAAGAUGAUCAGGUUGAUAGGUUCGAGGUGGAAGCAUGGUGACAUGUGGAGCUGACGAAUACUAAUAGAUCGAGGACUUAACCAUAUAA